UAAAAUGGGCUAACACUGAAAGAACCUUGCAGAAUCUCAGCAACGUCACAGUGGACAUUGUUAGCACAGCCAGCGGGCUCCUGCUGGGCUGAGUUUGUGGGUAAUCCAAGCCUCGGCAGGUACAGUUCCUCCCUCAGGGCCCAGGACACAGUGAGCAUACAAUAGACAUUAGCUGCUGUGGUGUCUUGAUUUCAAGCCCAGUGCAGUUGCAUCUGACUUACGAAACUUCAGUGACACCUGCUCUGUGCCAGACACUGAAGAUGGAGCAGUGAACAGCACUGACCCAGCCUGUCCUCCUGUUGCCUGCAGGCCAGAAGCAAGGUCUCGCUGUGUUACCCGGGCUGGAGUGCAGUGGCUACUUACAGGCAUGAUCAUAGCAUACUGCAGCCUCGAACUCCUGGACUAAAGCAGUUCUCCUGCCUCAGCCUCCAGAGCAGCUGGGACUGCAGACACGCACCACAGAGCCCAGCCUGAGUCAUUUUGAUUCUGUAACUGGCUUCCUCUCGGCGGGCAGGCUCACACCCUCCACCCCCAGCUGGAGAUGGAAGGAGGAUGCUCACCAUCCAUUCCUCAUGCAGGCCAUCGAUGGAAAUGUCAGACAGUGCGAGUCCAUGCCUGAACACUUCUGGGGUCCGCUCUGGGACUGACACUGGCAGAUCCAUCGAUGCCGUUCCAUUGUUUGCUGACUUGCAUUGAUUCUAUGAGAAGUCUGCAGUCUUUUGCAGCAUUGUUUUCCUAUGUAUAAUUGUCUCCUCCCACCCCACUCACCCCAGCUGCUUUCCACAUUCUCUCUCUUUGAUUUUCAGCAGUCUGCCCAUGAUGUGCCUAAA
rnacentral:lncRNA from 1 species